AUCUGAGGGGAGAUGGAGGUCAGGGUGGUUGUGGUGGUGGUGGUUUGACUUGUCUGGCCUCCUUUCUCUCUUUCAGGGUGCCAUUCUUCAUCUAGGCUAGUUUGUCUGCCUUAUAUGUGGUAGUUAUUUGGAAUUUCUUGGGAAUGGCUGGCCCCUUCUCCACAGGAGUUACUUCUCCAGAUAAUGACUGUGAAGGCUGAGAUGGAAAGGGAUAUAAUGGAGUAAAUAUUGCACCACCAUGAAUAAGUAAUACAAGCAACUUGGAGAAACAAAGGAAGACUUGUAUCUGAUGGAGAAUGAAACAAACAAAACCAAGAGAGGAGUACGCAUGAUAACUGCAAUAAUGGAGAUAAAAACAACACCAAUAGCAGCUAAACUGUGAUUAAAUUCAAUGACUAAUUUUGGUCCUAGAGAACAGAUGAUGUCCGCAUAUGUAGUGGAGUGGAGAACCAUAGAUGAGGAAUGUUGCAUGUGUUGUCAGAGGCAAUUUUGUCAGUCAUUUUUGCUUAACUACUUUUCUCUGAUCAAGAGAAUGUUGUUGUUGUCAUUGUCGUCUGUCCUUCAUUCUAGAAGAGGACCAUGACAUCAGGGAAGUGAUACCAUGAAACACAAGUGAAUUGAAUUUAAGUGAGAGAAGGAUGUGCAAAGUCACCAGCCUCACUUUCUUCUCUGGAGCCAUCUGGAUCCAGUGGCUAGAUAUAGAAUAUUCAACUACAGAGUCGCUUAAGGCAAGAAGACCCAGAGCAAGCAAGACUGAAACAAAAAGCAAAGGAGGCAGCUGUCACAUGCAGAGGAGUUUCGUUUUUCAAAAGCAGAAGGUCUUGAGAAUGAAUUCAAUCCUCAGGUUCCUGUUUUAAAACUGGAUGCCUUCUGUAUGCAGAGCCCUAUAGCAUUAUGGGUACUACACAGGUAGAAGAAUACAUAUUCCUUGCACUGAUGAAGUGCAUAAGUUAGUGGGGAAGAUAAGAGAUAAACACAAAUGACCGUGACACAAAAUGAAAUGUGAUGUGUUGAGCAGCAUUAAGGGAGGUACAAAGUGCCACGGAAGAUCCAAGGGAGAGAUUAAUCAAUCAAAAGAUAUUUAUUAAAUGUCUGCUAUGUACCAAGUAUUAUGCUAGACCCUAGGGAUACCAACGUAAGACAGUCCCUACCCUCAAGGACCUUCCAUUCUACUGGGGGAAUAGACUAUAUUCACAAAUAAGUAAGUACAGCAUGUAUUUAAAUAAGCACAAAGGGAUCCAGGGCAUGUGUAGACAGGGCAUCAACUGUGGGACCAGGAAAGGCCUCUUUGAAGAGAAUGAAAAUUGAACUGAGUCUUGAAGAGUGUUAGGGAUUUCCAAGAAGCAAAGGUGAAAAGGGAGAGACCACUCACAGACUCUUUGACUUUAGCUCAGUUAGAAAUUCCACACUUCAUAAGUAAUUUUUAUGAUGAGAAAUCAAUUAUUGCAAAUGAAUUUGCAGGAGAAGAAUCACUUAGUUAUAUGGAAACCUAUGAAUAUCAGGAAUGCCACACUACGUUAGACUAAUGUUGUCCCCAACUCAAGAUUCAAUCUCUGAUAGAGGUACCAGUGAAUAACGCAAUAGACAUUGUGAUAUACUCAUAGGCUUGGAAUAUACCCUGCUGAGAGCUGGAUUAAGGAAAGCUGAGCACUGUAGAAUUAACACUUUCAAAUUGUGGUGCUAGAAAAGACCUUUGAGAGUUCCUUGGACAGCAAGGAGAUCAAAUCAGUAAACAUUUAAAGAAAUGAACUCUGACUAUUCAUUGGAAGGACAAAUACAGUAUUUUAUCACGUAGUUGUUUUUUUACCCUGUUUUUUUUCAGUCCAAAAAUUUGUUUAUAACCUUUCAUCACAUAAUCAUCAGACGGCAUUAUUCUGUUUAUCACACCACUUAAAAAGUAAAUAGAGCAGCAAUGUAUUCACCACUAGCAUAUGGAUAUGCAUUUAUCUCUCCUGCUUUGUGAGUCGUGAGCCUAGAAUUCUAAGUGCACGCACCUUGUCAGUAUAUUUCCAAAAGCUGACUUGCAUGGUUCGUUUAGAGUGCUGCAGUACUAACAGUAUUGUCACUCAACCCAAUGAAAAUCUGAAGGCACAAGGAAAACAGUGGAUAGGCGAAGCUGCCAUGUGAUAUGGUAAGGCUUGUAUCUUCUUGUGCUAGCUAAACUGUGCUGUUUGUCUUCCAGUGAUACAGUUUAGUAAUAAAUGAUUUUUAAGUAAUACUGGCA
ensembl:lncRNA